AUGUUUAAAAUAAUUUUUUUCAAAAACGAUCAAUUUAAUCGAUUAUGUCUAUUCUAAAUGGACAUCCCUAUUUGUUAGUCAAAUUGUCAUUCACUCGCAUCACCUUUUCUCUCUCACUCACUCUUGCUGUGUUGCUGUCUUGCUUGAUCCUUCUUUGUGAUUCGUUUGUGUUUUAGCUUUUAUUUUCGGAACUUUAUUAACUACAAACUUGGCUAUUCAAACGGACUCUGAUUGAUUGCAAUAACGACAUACUCAGCCUGGGAUUUACUGUUUUUGUGUGGCUCGGCCAAGGCUCGGCUGGUGGUUCUAUGGUGUUAGAAAAUGAGCAACUUAAUUAUACACAACAAUGGGCAGCACCUCGAUCGGUAAGUACCUACAUUUUGCUCUGCAAUCUUAUGAAUAAGUACUAGCCUUGCCAAACUUCUGAAUUGCCAUUCUCAUGGCGGGUUGUCUUGAAAUGAAUGUUCCGCUUUUAUCUGUGGUUCAACCCUGGACAGUGUGGACAGCCAGGCCCGAUUCGAUUGUAAGAAACUAGUCGAUGGUACAGCGCAAUGGAGGCAUGAGCGAAACAACAAUUAUGUUGACAAUCCAGCUGGUUUUGGUGUUACAGCUCAUGAUCUUAUAUGCACAACAUGUUGGACCCAAGCCCAAGAUACAACACAAAUGCAUCUACUUCAAAUCUUAGCAGAAAAUGUGUGCUUUGCAGUAGAACACUAGAGCCUAGAACACGUUCACAUCAGCUCAUGUCCCUGAGAACUAACACUCAACAUCAUAUUAACAUCAGGAACAUAAUUGUGGAACGACUAACUCCAUUAGAGGUUACUGCAAAUGACUACAUCUGUGGGGCUUGUCACUCAUUAUUGCAAAGAGAUACCACACCUACUUCACAAGACUCUCCAGAUAUGCCAACCGGUGCCCCGGUAGGUCACCAACAAGUUUGUGUUGGAUGUGGUUGUUCAUUAUUGCGAACUUGAAGUCAUUGUUUGGAUACAGAGAAUAAUCAAGAUAUAUUAAACAUUGUUCGAAAUUGGAUUCAACCCAGAGAGAUUCGUCCUUCAGAUCUUCUUUGCCAUAGAUACUAUCAGAGAGCACGAAUUACUACAGUUGGUGCUUAUUUAAUGAAGCUGAGGACCGGUGAUUCAGAUGACAGAAUAGCUACAUUACUUGGCAUUUCAAGGAGUACUCUUACAAAAUAUGUAAUGAAAGCACGCAGUAUGAUGGAGGAACAUUUCGUACCAGCACAUUUAGGGUUACAGCAUAUUAGUAGAGAGGAAGUAGCCCAAAGAAACCUUUAUGUUCCAGUCUCUUUUCGGGAAGCCAGGAAACGAUUUACCACAAAGAAAGGCUAUUGUCAUCAUGGAUGGUACAUACAUACAUUUAUGUGCAAAAAAGUAGCAAUUAUGCAUACCAAAAAAAAAACUUAUUCCCUAUACAAAUAUCGGAAUCUCGUUAAACCAUUUAUGGUACUUUGUUGUGAUGGCGACAUCAUUGAUGUAUUGGGCCCAUAUUUAAUAGAAAAUGUAGAA